AUCAAACACAAAAAACAAACUAAAUUAAAUAUAUAAUUUUAAAUACUCUUAUGGAAAUUGUAAGAUAAUGUCCACAACUGACCAAGAGAAGAACUGGUUGGACAGGAUCAUCACAUUUUGCUAUAAUGUUGUUCAUGGUAACAUUUUUGUGUGUAACUUUCCAUUGGACAUAUGGAAACAACGUUACAGCCAUACCAUGUACGGUUGAAGGGAAGACGUAUCAACAUGGUGAAGCUUUUAAAAUCCAAUACAGUGGCCCCUGUAUAGAAUAUACAUGUAAUAUGGGUGGUUACGGUCCUUCAAAGUUUGAAUGUGAUGAUGGCAAUAAGAAAUGCUACCCUGUAGGAUCUACGAGAACUAUACACCAGUGUAUUCACCAACAAUGUGUAAAAAAUGACAGAGGUGUGGGGUAUAGAACGUUAACUGGAGGUUGUCUAUUUAAUGAUCGAUGUUUAAAAGUAGGAGAAAUUGUAGAAGAUCGGUGUUUUGUGUACCAAUGUAAAGAAAAGGAUACGGGAUCUCAUAUCAGUUAUAGAUUAGAAUUAAUUUCUGAAGGAUGCUACAGUAGACCUUCUAAACCAUAUAACUGUAUACCAGUCAACGCGACUAUCAAGGAAGGAUGCAUUACCAAGAAAUGCGAGAAGAAAAACAAUAUGUAUUCGCUGAAAGUUUUAGAUAAUGAAAGUGGGUGUAAAGAAGGAACUUUAUGUCGUCCCUUAGGAUUAACAUGGACAGAUAAAUGUGAAAAGAAAGUGUGUGUUAAAGAUACGCCAUUACCUGGAUACACUAGACUACAAAUACAAAGAUCUUAUAAACAAUGUGAGGACGUCAGUGGCAUUUGUCAUCCUAUUGGGGCAAAGUUUCUUAAAAUAAUGAAUGGCAAACUAUAUCAGAAUUGUACAUGCUCUUUAGUUUUUAAUGUUAUUUUUUAUACUUGCAACUCCACAUUUAGCACCGUGUAAAUUAGACAAUUGAAUUAAAAGUAGGAAUAUAAAAUUAUACGAAUAAUUUAUAUAUUGAUAUAUAUGUAAAAAUUAGGAAAAUAAACGUUUUAAAUGUAA